GUAGGUGGCAAGCGUUGUCCGGAAUUAUUGGGCGUAAAGCGCGCGCAGGCGGUUCUUUAAGUCUGAUGUGAAAGCCCACGGCUCAACCGUGGAGGGUCGUUGGAAACUGGAGAACUUGAGUACAGAAGAGGAGAGCGGAAUUCCACGUGUAGCGGUGAAAUGCGUAGAGAUGUGGAGGAACACCAGUGGCGAAGGCGGCUUUCUGGUCUGUAACUGACGCUGAGGCGCGAAAGCGUGGGGAGCAAACAGGGAUUAGAUACCCUGGUAGUCCACGCCGUAAACGAUGAGUGCUAAGUGUUACGGGGGUUUCCGCCCCCUUAGUGCUGCAGCUAACGCAUUAAGCACUCCGCCUGGGAGUACGCCGCAAGGCUG
rnacentral:rRNA from 1 species